AUGCCGUCUGCGUCCCAUUUUGCUACAAAUAAUAUUUUUUUUUGUCGAUUAUAUCCUCAUUUUGAUGGUACUCAAUCAUGUGCAGAGGGCAACAGCAGGUUAUGCGUCUCUGUCAGAGACUACUACUGUUACAUGCUGCAGACACGGCCUGCGAUCUUUAAUCCCAUACUCUGUGGAGCACGCCUCUUGCGGCAAUGGGCUGUCGACAUGUACGUCAAGAUUGAAAGUUGUCGGUUAAGGUGGUACAGGAAGAACCAGACGCAGAUUCGUGCUGACUUGUAUAAAGGAGUUGUUGAUGCGAUCACAUCGGGGGAGACACAAGCAAGCGCUGUUGGGGUAAGAAUAGUU
rnacentral:rRNA from 1 species